GAGCAAGGAGCAGAAGUGUGAUUCCAGGCCUAAUCUAAAGUUUACCUUGUGCCUUUAGGGAAUCCCUUUCUUUCUCUGGGCUUCUGCUUUCUCAUCAACACUGGGUCACUGGGGAAAAGUGAUCUCCAGUAAGCCUCUUGGCUCUGACAGGCUGUCAUUUGUCUUUGCACAUUUCAUUCCAGCUCAGUCUGACCUCCAGCACCCCAUGGUGCUGACAGCGAUCUGAUGCUCCCAGGGUGCUGCAGACCUGAGCUGAGUCCACAAUCAGACAAUAUUGGGUCUGGAUCUUUUCCCCUCACUGGCUUCUGAGGACACACAAGGCAGAAUAUCUGAGCUGUAUCUGUGAGUAAUAUCCAGGACUCUGUGUUCCUGUGGGGUACCCAACUGCUACUCUUGCUCCCACCAGAAAUCUCCUUUGAGCUGCUUGUGACCCCAGCUCUCCUACCUCUGUCAGUUAUGAUUGAGCCUCUGAGAGGGAAUGCAAGAGGUUCCAUGGAGGGAGGAGAGGGGUAUGUGAAGGCUCAUUGAGCUCAUCCACCUCCUGCAUUCCUCUUACACCUCUUCUCAACCUCCCUCAACCACUCUUUGUCUGCUCCAGGUAAAAUGGGCUGUGGCUCCCAGGCAGCAUUGAUAGCAUGGUGGUUGCUAGGGCACUGUGGGAUUGUUUUGAAGCAGGUCCAGUGGGGAGGGCUUUCAUUCUCUUCAGUGGGGGCCCUGUUUUUCUUCAUAUGGGAACAUUUGGCUGCAUGAGUUCAUUCCCAUGGUCACCAUCACUGACUUGUCAGUUCAUUCAGGUACUACACACCUUCUGAAUUCAUUUUACCUCCUUCCUCCAAUAUGUGAUCACCAGGGAUGUUGAUGAUGAUGAUGAUGAUGAUGAUGAUGAUGAUAAUAAUAAUAAUAAUAAUAAUAAUAAUAAUAAAACAAUAAUAGGGCAGGGGAUGUUGGACAUUCUUAAGUGUGCCUGGAUUCAAAUUCAGGAACAACAAAAAAGUUUGAAAGCUUAAAACCCUGAGAAAUUACCCCCAUGUGUGAUGAAUAAGAAAAACAAGAGAGAUGCUUAAAAAUUAUAAUGAUUGGUCUUCCUAAGGUUUAAAGGACUGUUCCUUUGAUUGAAACUAGAAUAACAGGCUGCUAUUACAGAGGAGCAGUUGUUAGGUGGAAGGGUAUUGUGGGUCUUAACAGAGCUAUGAUUCUCAUCUGCAAACAUUUUCAGAAAAUAGGGAAGAAAGAACACUUUCCAACUCAUUCUACAAGGCAAAUAUUAUUUUAUACAAAAUCAAGAGUAAACAUGACAAGAAAACCACAGAUCACUUAUUGUCCCUCCUUAAGAAAAGCAAAAAUCAUUAAUAAGAUACUGGUCAUCUGAAUGGAGCAACACUGACAAGGAGUAUACAAUAUGAACAGGUAGGAUUUGCCCAAGAAUUCCAGGUGGUUUAAUAUCCCAAAACCAGUCUGGCACUGAGGAUGACCCUCAUCUGCACCACAGAGGGCACCACAGGCCUGCUAUAUGACUGUCACCUUCCUUCAGAUGUGCUAGAAAGCCUGCUGCAUUAAAAGGAGACAAUUAGUUUUGAGGAGUAGUCUGAGACUAAGGAGCAAGCUGUGCAAACAGGAAAAAGAAAUUUCAAAAAAUUAUCUGAACAACAACUCACAAAGAGGAGGCCUAGAGAAUAACUACUCCCCAAGAAGCAAGCAGGUAGAUUGUGAAUGCAGUAUCUUUAAUUAAUUUAGCAUAUUUGAAUAUUUAUUUUGUCUUUUGGUAAAUGCAUUUUUCUAGGAAUUUGCCCACUUUACAGGAAUUGCCUUCUCAGUUGCUAUAAAAGUUUUCAUAAAUAUAUUUUCUAGGAAUUUGUCUACUUCUUCUGAUAUAAAGUUUUCCAUAGCGUCCUCUUGUGGACUUUUAAAAUGUCUGUGAGCCAGGUGAUGAUGUGAGCCUUUUCAUCCUCCUUCAGGCCCUUGCCCUUCUCACUCACCCAGGAUCAGUCAUCAGGGACCCAUCCCCUACUUACUCUUUCCCCAGCAAUAUCCUUUGGGCUUUGUAGACCUUCUCCAUCGAGGGUUCUUUUCUAUUUGUUUAAUUGUGUUCUUUGUGUCUCCCAACCUGCCACCAUGUCUGAGCUCCAUUGUUUCUCUUUUUCUUACUUCUUGAGACAAGUGCUUCUCUUCUGGGUUUGCUCCCUCUUUUCACCCUGUAUACACAGGGAAACAUGUAUGUUUUCCCCUAACAGUGGCAUUAGGUGCAGCCUGUGAAUUUUUAUAGCCUUUAUUAUAGUUCAGUUCAAACUAAUAUCUAUAUUCUAUUGGGAUUCUUUAUAUCCCUGUGUUAUUUAGAAGUAUAUUGCUUCUACAUAGUUACAAGUACAUAGGAACAUUUUGUAAAAAUGUAUGAUUCCUCAUUGAAUUGCAAAGAACAAACUCUGAGUGAUUGAUGAAAAUCUAUGAUAAAAAAUAUGAUCAGUUUUGAAAAUGUGCUUAAAAAGAAUAGUUUAUAUUCCCUAAAAUGUUUCAUUGUUCUCUAAGUGUAUGUACAUUGGUUAAAUCUGCUAAAAUUUGUUCCAUUAUUAACUUAUACCAAUUUUUGUUCCACAUGUAUGUGUCAAUGUGCAUCUGUGCAUGUGUGUACUGCUUCAGAUGGAACCCAGGACCCUAUGUGUGCUAGAGAAGUGUUUUACCACUGAGCUACAUCCCUACACCUGCUUUUCUAUCAGACAAAAAUUUCUAGGGCUUGGGUUGUGGCUCAGUGGUAGAGCACUUGCCUCGCAACUACAAAAGUGAGGCACUGGGUUUGAUCCUCAGCACCACAUAAAACUAAAAUGAAGAUUAUUAUUAUUUUUUUACCUACAACUAAAAAACAAAUAUAUAAAAAGAAAACUUCUAUGUUUUACUUGUCUGAUUCUUUUUAAGUUUUCUUCAAUUCAUACACCUACACAAAAAUAUCUGCAAAAUAUUUUCACAAAUUAGACUGUAUUCUUCAACAUAAAUCAAGCCUCAAAAAUUUCCAAUAAGUGAAAUCAUUCUGAUUUCAGAGUAUUUUCUCUAGAACAAUUGAGAAAUCAAAAAUAUUAGAAAAUCAGGGCUGGGGCUGUGGUUCAGUAGUAGAGCACUUGCCUAGCAUUUGUGAGGCACUGGCUUGGAUCCUCAGUACCACAUAAAAAUAAACAAACAAAAUAAAGGCAUUCUGUCCAUCUACAACUUUUUUAUUUAAAAUUUGAAAUAUGAGAAUAUCAUCAUACCCAUAAUAGGUAUCUAUAAAAAUAUACACAUAUACAUACAUGCACACCAAGUUAUUAGGUGUAACCAAAUAAAUUUUUUAAAAAAUCUUCCGCUUUCUGUGAUCAUGCAGCAUCUCUUCAGGAAUAUUUGUACUUAAAUUCUAUUUUUUGUGAUAUUACACAGUUGCACCACUGGUUUUAAGUUAGUAUUUUUAUGGCUUAUCUUUCUGCAUCAUUUUCUUUUCAAUUUUCUGUGUCCUUAUGUUCAAGGUUGUUUUAUAUAAGAAGCAUGAGUUUUUAUUUAGUCUGAUUUAUGGCUUUUAAUUAGAAUAUUUACCCUACUGCAUUUAGCAUAGCUCUUGUAAGAAUUCUGAAUUUAAUUAUAUCAUCUUGUCAGCUCAUGCUUACUUCUUUUUCUUUGCUCUCUUUUGGCUUCUUUUGAAUGGAUUAUUUUUAAAUUUUUCAAUUUUCUUUCAUUCAGCUUGAAAGUCAGAAACCCUAAAACCUUUGUUAAAGGAUCAGGAACAGAAAGUGAUGUGUUUCUUCUAGGCAUAAAGCUGGAAGAGGAUGAAAGUGUGACUAGUUUAACUUAGAAAAUAUUGAAUUAGAAAAUUAUUACAGGAGAAAGGAAGAGUGCGUGGAGGAGGAGUGGAGGGAAUAGUUAGUGAAGUUAGGCAAUCCCAACAAAACAAAUGCCAAAUGUUUUCUCUGAUAUAAGGAAGCUGACUCAUAGUGGGGUAAGGAGGGGGAGAAUGGGAGGAAUACACAAACUCUAGAUAGGGCAAAGGGGUGGGGGUGGGGAAGGGAGGUGGUAUGGGGUUAGAAAUGAUGGUGGAAUAUGAUGAACAUCAUUACCAAAGUACAUGUAUAAAAACAUGAAUUGGUGUGAAAAUACUUUAAAUACAACCAGAGAUAUAAAAAUGUGCUGUAUAUGUGUAAUAAGAAUCAUAGUGCAUUCUGGUGUCAUUUACCUCUUUAAAAAUCAAUUAAAAAACAGAAAAAAAGAAAAAGCUAUAGGGAAGUGGCCUUUACUCAUUAGUAGCACUAGAGAGUGUCAGAACACUGAAAUUCAGUAUCAGAAAGCCCAUGAUCUGCAUUGCAAAGAAAAGAAGGACUUUAAACAGGGUGAAUUCAAUACCGCACAAAACUUGACCCUGCCAAAGGACAGCUUGGCUUUUAAUCCAGUUAGUUUGCUCACAUCUUGUGAAUUCUAUGUGUGUGUUCUUGGGGAUUUUAUUAUUGACUUCUUAGGUUAUUUUUUUCUUAAACUUCUAUACAAUAAGUGUUCCUGAAACACAGUCUAGAAAUAAUAAGAAAUACUCUGUUUACAAUUAAAGAACAUUUGUAGGAAUAAAAGAGGAUUUUACCUAGUUAUUAAAAGGGCACAUCAUGUCCAUACCCCCAAAAUGACAAAAACAGAUGAACCAAAAAUAUUAAAAUACAUCCUAGGGGGGCUGGGUUGUGGCUCAGUUGUAGAGGACUUGCCUAGCAUGUGUGAGACACUGGGUUCAAUUCUCAGCACCUCAUAUAAAUAAAUGAAUAAAAUGAAGGUUCACCAACAGCUGAAAAAUCUUUUAAAAAAAAUACAUCCUAGGGCAACGGUCAUCUGUAAACAGAGAAGAAGGAUCAGGUAGCCACAUAUUGUCCCACAAGCAAGCAACUACAGUCAUCCAUUUCUGAACUGUGAAAUUAACUGAGGCCAUGGCUCAAAUGAACAUUGUCUAUCUAUGAGAAAGUAACAUAGUUAAGACAGCAGUGUCUGUUACAUCGUCACAGGGGCUGCCCCCUGUCCUGUCCAUCUCAAGACCAGUAACCAACCCUACAAAGUUAUGAAAGUGUGCCCCUUAGAAUUAAAGGAUAGUACAAAUAACUCAAAUCCACACAGGGAAAUAAAAAACAGCAGCAAAGGCAGUUGUGUCCCCGGGGAAUAUGGAACAGGAUGCACAAGUUAUGUCUAUAACUCCUUUCUUCCAAUGUUUGUUUUAAAAGAGGUACAAAAUUGUGAUGAAGGACAUAAAAUUAACAAAGAGAAGACUGGUUUUACAAAAUAGCCCAAAGGAAGUGGGAGGAAAUGAAGUUAUAUUGGAGUCCGAUUUUUGUACAAUAUUGAACUUAACAUUAAUCUAAAUUAGAUUGUUUUUAAAAGCUCAUGAUACUCCCUAGGACAAUUAUUAAAAAGUUGAAUUUUAAAAUUCAAUUAAAGAAACAAGAAAAUAAUUAAAAUAGUACACUAGAAUGUACCCACUUAAAAAUAAAGAAGGCAUAAGUGGGGGCUGGGGUUGUGGCUCAGUAGUAGAGCACUGGCCUAGCACUUGUGAUUCUAUCCUCAGCACCACACAAAAAUAAAAGUUAAUAAAAAGAAAGAAAGAAGCAUAAGUUGAGAAACAGAAAUAUCACAUACAUGCCAUAUUGAAACAUGAACCAGACGUGAAUUGUACUUCCUCAGUAAUCAUGCCAAAUGGAAAUGGACUAAGCACUAAAAUCAAAAGGUAUCGAUCAGAUCACCAGAGUGGAUUGAAAACAGGAUCAUGUAACAUGUUGCUAUUGAAGACAUACCUUAGAUUCAAGAAUACAAAUAGGUGCAAAGCAAUAGGGAGGAAAAAGACAUGGCAAAUAAGCAAAGUUAGUGUGACUCCACUGACACAGAAUAAUAGACUUUGGAACAUAAUUGGUUACAAAGAAAGAGAAGGACAUCUUAUGGCAAAUGGUCAAUUUAUUAAGAAUAUAAGUAGGUAUAAACAAAUGUACAUAAAACAGCAGAGCACCAUUAGGAAGGAAAAAUGACAAGAUUAAGGGAGCAACCAAUCAUUCAAUGUUAACAACAGAGACUUUGACAUCCUACCCUAAGUAAGGGAGAAAACAACCAGGAAGAUCCACGAGGAGUAGAAUCCUGAGCAACAGCAUGUAGGCAUUGAGAGUCACAGCAUGGACCCUGUCCAGAGCCUAGCUGGGCUGUGAAGUCCUGUGACUAAGUAACAGUAAUGCGGGCACCAUCACUGCACCUUUGGGGGAGGGAUUACCUGUCCAGAGGUCCUCAAAGGUUUGGAGGGCACAGAGGUGUGUCCUUGUGGAAAGGAAGUGUGUGCUUUCAGGGGUGAUUUGUAUGCUGUGCUGUUUGAAACAUAAAAGCAAUCCAAAAUGUUGCUUGAAGAUCUGACAAACUUCACAUAAUAGUGAAGAAUUAAACAGCUUAGAUUUUUUUUUUAAUAUUUAUUUUUUUUUAGUUGUAGUUGGACACAAUACCUCCAUUUUAUUUAUUUUUAUGUGGUGCUAAGGAUAGAACCCAGGGCCUUGUGCAUGCUAAGUGAGACCUCUAUCUCUGAGCCACAACCCCAGCCCAACUUCUUAGAUUUUUGAGGUUUGAUUUUCCUGGGGGUGUUCACCAGAUCUACUAGAGGCAGGUCUACUAACUGGUGAUUUGAAGUCCAUGUGGGGGCUUCUGGAAUAUGAAGAUGUCCCCUAUCUUUUCCUGGGUUCUGAUUACAAGGAUCUGUGUUUUAUAACAAGUCAUUAAGCUGCAUGUGUAGUGGUAUGCAUUUUUCUCCAAAAGUGCUCUACCUGGAAAAACAUCAUGACUUUGAAAGGGAUUGACUGAUUCAGAUAAAGUUAUCAAAAUCCCAAAGAAUUUUUGUUGGAAAACCAAAGAAGAAGCCAAAGUCACCUAUAAAGGGAAAAUAAUUGAUUGGCCUGAGAAUUUUUUCAGAAUUAUAUCUUGUGAACAGUUGGUGGGAUUCUGCUUCAAGUCCCCUGUGAAAGAUUAAGGUAGGCUUUUGCUCCUAUCACAGUGGGGGAUGGGUUUCUGAGAUAGUAAUGUCUUUGCAAUCAUCCAUUUUCAGCCAAUCUUGUAAGCAUUUCAGGUUUAUAACCCUUUUUAGUCUACAAAACACUCUUGGAGGUGGGAAUUCUGAUUAUCCUCAUUUUAAAAAUGAGAAAAUAGUCACAGAAGAGUUCAAUAAAUUGUUUGAGGAAAGGGGUAGAAGCCAGUUCUGAACCCCAGUAGAAUCACCAGAGCCCAGUUCCAUAGGUUCAUGAGCACAAGCAACACAUAGGAACUCAAAUGCUCUUUACACAAGUUCUCUUGUAAAUAUUACUGAAGGAUGAACUUCUACUAUUCAAGAAAUGAAGUGAUAACUAUAACAAGAAACCUGAAGUGACCAGGGUUCCUUAUAUGUGACCUCGACUAGAACAGAUUCAUGACUUAUGGGUAUAGAACAGAAUAAAAAUUAUAUCAGUUCCACAGGAAAAGAAAUGCCAUAACCAAGUACAAUUAGCAAAACAGAGAAUUAAAAGAUAUUUAAUAUGGUGACAUCAAGUAAUGGAGAUAUAUAUAUAUAUAUAUAUAUAUAUAUAUAUAUAUAUAUAUAUAUAUAUAUAUUUUUAAGCAAUUACAGUGAAACCUAAGAAAAAUGAACUUGGAAAAUUUUGGCAUGGGGAAGGAAAAAAUAAAAGAAUUGGAAAUGAACUAUUUUCAAUCCCCUGCAUUGCAAGCGACCAACAGAAAACACCUCAAGAAUAGGUUCAAUGUAAAUGUUCUUUUAAUUAAAGAUAAUUCUAAAACACCAAACUACAAUCCUUUCAUUAUCAAAAGGUAAACAAACCAUAAUUUAAAAAAUACAGAUCACAUAGAAAAAGUUUUUUUUUUUUUUUUUUUAAGUAAAAGAAACAAGUGAAUCAAAUUACAAUGCAUUGGCUGGGGUUGCAGCUUAUUGGUAAAUCACCUGCCUCACACAUGUGAAGCACUGGGUUUGAUCCUCAGUACCACAUAAAAAUAAAUAUAUAUAUUGUGUCCAACUACCACUAAAAAAUUUUUAAAAAUAAAAUGCAAAAGGGGCAUCAAAUACAUUGAUAACAUCUGCAGUGUAAAUGGCUUUAACUUGCCUAUUAUGGGCAAAAGGAAUCAGUGUGAAUCAGAAAGUAAAAUCCAGGCAUUUUGUUAUUUACACACUCAAGAAAGGUCAUCUCAGGAAGGCUGGAAAUAAUAGGAUGGACAAUCCACACCAGCCAUAUGGAAAAACACAAUGGGCAGAGUGAGGCAUGCCCAGAUCCUGUCACAUAAAACCACUGAAAUACUACCAUUAAAUGAGACAAAUUAGCUUCAGUUUAAAAAUCAAUGACAAAUACAAAUUUUGAAGCUCUGAAUUUCUAUGUUCAAAAGAAAAGAACAUCAGUGUUUAUCAGUACAAACCUUUGGAAUAAAAAAGGAGAAAGCAAAAGAAGUUUCAGUUCUCCUUUCUGUAUCCAUUGCAGAUUUCAUAAGUACAAAAUUAUUACCUAAUAUUAAAUAACUAUACACACAUAUUUUAACAGUGUAUCCAUUUAUAUAGAAUGUUCCAUCACUUCAAACAUUCUCAAGGAUUUACAAAAUCAGGUCAUACACUCCAAAAUAUCAAAUCUCAACUCACAAGAAAAGAAACAAUACAAAUACUAUGUGCUGAUCAUAAUUUAAUAAAAGUAGAAGCUGGUAGCCCAACUAGAAAAUAAACUUUUGUUCCAAAAAUAUUUUAAAACUAAAUAAAAACCUAGUAUUUUUUUAAAGUGCUAAAGAUUAAAAUAAUGGAACAUCUAGAAAAUAAUGUAUGCAGUCUAUCAGAACAAAUGAGAUACAAAAAAAAAAAAAAGAAGAAGAAAAUGGUUUCAAGGAAAAUGUGCAGCUUCCAAUGACAUACACUAGUAAAAAUGUGCAGAGGAUAGCACUGCCUAUACACUAAAAGCCAGUGUCCCCUUAUUCAUGAAGAACAGUAUGGGCUCCAUCCUCCAGAAAUUGUGGCUUGUCUGUGGUGGGUGACUAAUUUAGGGAAUGCCAGUGGAUGAACUUGGUGCCUCCUCAGGGCUGUACUGCCAGCUUCUGGGUAUUCCUAAAGGUCCUCUGCUGGCUUGGUGCAUGUGAAAGCAGGGCAGCUCUGGAGCAGGGGACUCUGAUGUUGGCAUGUGGCCAAACUGCCCAAACUUUCUAACAAGCCAGAUUAAAUUUUUAUUUUGAGAAAAUAUCAUGCUCAGAUCAUAGUCUGCCUUAUGAUUUUUCUGCCCCCAGCUACGGAGUAGCUGGGGUUAUACGCUUGUGCUAUCUUGUUCUUCUGUGUUUUUCUCUUUGAUUUUCAAUUUGGGGAGUUUAUAUUGAUGUAUUCUCAAGCUUCCUGAAAUUUCCUUUAGUUGCAGCUGGUCUACUAACAAGCCCCAUGAAGGCAUUCUUUGUUUGUUUUUGCUGUCUAAUAUUUCUUUUUGAUUUUUCUUAGAAUAUGUAUAUCAUACUUAUAUAAAACAUCUGGCUUUUCAUGUUGUCUGCUUUUCCUAUAGUGUCUUUACUGUACAAAUCACAGUUUUUUUUUUAAUUUCCUGGUUUGAUCAUUCUGACAUCCUGCCUUAUCUGAGUCUGGCUCUGACACUUCUCUGUCUCUGCCUUCUCUGCUUGCCUUUUAGUAUUCAUGACAAUGCUGGACAUGACUUACAGGUCAAGGACUUCAGGCAGAGAGAUAGUGAUGUGGUUAGUGACUUGGUUGUGAGGUUUGGGCUGAGGGGAGGCACUGUUCAUUUCAGUGAUUAAGUUGAGUGGUAUUGGUGAACCUGUGUCCCCAAGGUUGUCUCUUAAAAAAAAUUCCUCUGUUUUGCCUGCUCCUCAAGUGGAACAGGAAGGAUCGAAUGGACUGGAGUUGAGCAUUUCUUUCUCCAGAUUUGUGUUUCCCUGAUUAAACCCAGUCAGGUGAAGUCAGUCCAAAUACUUACUCUUGAUGCCAGGCCUCAUUGAGAAGCAACAAAUGUUCUAGGAAUAUUUGAAAACAGUUGUUCACCCUGAUCUUCAAGAAGCAUAAGUGUUUUUUUUUUUUUUUUCUCCACACUUCACUCUGAGGACCCAGUAGACUCCUGAAGAUGACCUGAAAAGGUGUCGGACCUCUUCUCAGUGUAAGCAGCCUGAAGAUUUUAACUCUGGGACAUGUGACCUUUGAGACUCCAGCAAUUUGUCUAUUAUAGGCUAGGUUUUCCUACCCUUAUAGAAACCCUAUCCAGGUUUGUGAUUAUGGAUUAUGGCUGUGGUGAGUUGUAAUUCUCCCUAUCAAUGUGUCUUUCUAGAGUUCACCCAGGGCCUCCUGUAUGCUAAGCACACACUCUACCACUAGCUACAGCCUCAGCCCUUAGAUCCACCAUUUUUUUGCCAACAGUUUGCUCUGAGAUCUCAAUUCUUUGUUGGAUGAACAAGAGUUGCUAAUUUCGGGUUUGUUCAGUGUUUGACUUAUUACAAGGGUGGGAAACUUCCAAUCUUCUUUUAGGUAGAACCAGAAACUGGUAGUCUUCUUGUAUCUUGUUUUAUUCCUUUAUUUCACUGUCAAAGUUAUGUUUCUGGUUGUUUUUAAUUGCAUAAUUCUUAUUCAUUUCAUUUCUCAUUCAGCAUAUAAUGUUAUAGUUAAAGCUUCAUUCCAGGGUUUCAUAAACUGACUUCCAGACCACUCACAUAUAAUUGAAUCAAGCCUUUAUUGAAGCACACCGGUGGUGGCUGACCAGAACACAGAGCUGUUCCCCUGAUCAGCCCUGAACAAUUGCAAAGGCACUCCUUAUACGCCUGAAAACUGCAAAAGGGAUGUUUGGGGGGUCUACCCAUUGCAAGCAAGCUAGGUUACAGAAGCGGGACAGUGCAGUCAAGCAGAGGGAAACCUAACCAAUCACAGUUAGACCAGUCACAGCAGUUACAGAAACAGAGCCCCAUUAUCCUAGUUACAGAAACAAUACCCCAUUAGGUAGUUUUGUUCUUAAAGAUUUCUAUAGCAAAAGGAAAUGAACUUCUUGCCCCAGUCAUGACUCUUCUACUUGGCAUGGUUGUUUCACAGGAUGAAGACAUAAAACAAAAUGGAGUCACAUUUGCUCCUACUAUCACAAUAUGAUUAUUUGUUAAUGAUUUGAAUUUGAGUUUGUAAUCCACUCAAGUUCAUUUUCCUCUUGUUUGAUAUAGUUGAAGAGUGAAUGCUUCCUGCUGUGGGAAGAACACAUGGGCUGACCAGAGGAUUAUUGGCUGACAGGUUUGUCUCUCACCACUUUGAAUAUUUCAACCUACUGUCUUCUGUGUUCUAUGGUUUCUGAGGAGAAAUGUGAUGAAGACCUUAUGAGGAAAUGAUAACCAAGUACCCUUCCUCUCAGCCCCAUAGAUGUGAACAACAUGGCCUUCAGUGUCUUAGGGUAUGAAGCAUUUGUGCCAGUGUCAGGAUGUGAAUGAAUCACUACCAUCCUUUGGACACCAAUUGUUUUGAUUUGGAAGGAAAACAAUUUGCACACCUUGAGUGUAGGUAUGAUCAGUUAUUUAAAAGGCAAAAGUCAUUAUGGAUUUCCAGACUUUAGGUUCAAUGUAAAUGUUCUUUUAAUUAAAGAUAAUUCUAAAACACCAAACUACAAUCCUUUCAUUAUCAAAAGGUAAACAAACCAUAAUUUAAAAAAUACAGAUCACAUAGAAAAAGUUUUUUUUUUUUUUUUUUUUUUUUUAAGUAAAAGAAACAAGUGAAUCAAAUUACAAUGCAUUGGCUGGGGUUGCAGCUUAUUGGUAAAUCACCUGCCUCACACAUGUGAAGCACUGGGUUUGAUCCUCAGUACCACAUAAAAAUAAAUAUAUAUAUUGUGUCCAACUACCACUAAAAAAUUUUUAAAAAUAAAAUGCAAAAGGGGCAUCAAAUACAUUGAUAACAUCUGCAGUGUAAAUGGCUUUAACUUGCCUAUUAUGGGCAAAAGGAAUCAGUGUGAAUCAGAAAGUAAAAUCCAGGCAUUUUGUUAUUUACACACUCAAGAAAGGUCAUCUCAGGAAGGCUGGAAAUAAUAGGAUGGACAAUCCACACCAGCCAUAUGGAAAAACACAAUGGGCAGAGUGAGGCAUGCCCAGAUCCUGUCACAUAAAACCACUGAAAUACUACCAUUAAAUGAGACAAAUUAGCUUCAGUUUAAAAAUCAAUGACAAAUACAAAUUUUGAAGCUCUGAAUUUCUAUGUUCAAAAGAAAAGAACAUCAGUGUUUAUCAGUACAAACCUUUGGAAUAAAAAAGGAGAAAGCAAAAGAAGUUUCAGUUCUCCUUUCUGUAUCCAUUGCAGAUUUCAUAAGUACAAAAUUAUUACCUAAUAUUAAAUAACUAUACACACAUAUUUUAACAGUGUAUCCAUUUAUAUAGAAUGUUCCAUCACUUCAAACAUUCUCAAGGAUUUACAAAAUCAGGUCAUACACUCCAAAAUAUCAAAUCUCAACUCACAAGAAAAGAAACAAUACAAAUACUAUGUGCUGAUCAUAAUUUAAUAAAAGUAGAAGCUGGUAGCCCAACUAGAAAAUAAACUUUUGUUCCAAAAAUAUUUUAAAACUAAAUAAAAACCUAGUAUUUUUUUAAAGUGCUAAAGAUUAAAAUAAUGGAACAUCUAGAAAAUAAUGUAUGCAGUCUAUCAGAACAAAUGAGAUACAAAAAAAAAAAAAAGAAGAAGAAAAUGGUUUCAAGGAAAAUGUGCAGCUUCCAAUGACAUACACUAGUAAAAAUGUGCAGAGGAUAGCACUGCCUAUACACUAAAAGCCAGUGUCCCCUUAUUCAUGAAGAACAGUAUGGGCUCCAUCCUCCAGAAAUUGUGGCUUGUCUGUGGUGGGUGACUAAUUUAGGGAAUGCCAGUGGAUGAACUUGGUGCCUCCUCAGGGCUGUACUGCCAGCUUCUGGGUAUUCCUAAAGGUCCUCUGCUGGCUUGGUGCAUGUGAAAGCAGGGCAGCUCUGGAGCAGGGGACUCUGAUGUUGGCAUGUGGCCAAACUGCCCAAACUUUCUAACAAGCCAGAUUAAAUUUUUAUUUUGAGAAAAUAUCAUGCUCAGAUCAUAGUCUGCCUUAUGAUUUUUCUGCCCCCAGCUACGGAGUAGCUGGGGUUAUACGCUUGUGCUAUCUUGUUCUUCUGUGUUUUUCUCUUUGAUUUUCAAUUUGGGGAGUUUAUAUUGAUGUAUUCUCAAGCUUCCUGAAAUUUCCUUUAGUUGCAGCUGGUCUACUAACAAGCCCCAUGAAGGCAUUCUUUGUUUGUUUUUGCUGUCUAAUAUUUCUUUUUGAUUUUUCUUAGAAUAUGUAUAUCAUACUUAUAUAAAACAUCUGGCUUUUCAUGUUGUCUGCUUUUCCUAUAGUGUCUUUACUGUACAAAUCACAGUUUUUUUUUUAAUUUCCUGGUUUGAUCAUUCUGACAUCCUGCCUUAUCUGAGUCUGGCUCUGACACUUCUCUGUCUCUGCCUUCUCUGCUUGCCUUUUAGUAUUCAUGACAAUGCUGGACAUGACUUACAGGUCAAGGACUUCAGGCAGAGAGAUAGUGAUGUGGUUAGUGACUUGGUUGUGAGGUUUGGGCUGAGGGGAGGCACUGUUCAUUUCAGUGAUUAAGUUGAGUGGUAUUGGUGAACCUGUGUCCCCAAGGUUGUCUCUUAAAAAAAAUUCCUCUGUUUUGCCUGCUCCUCAAGUGGAACAGGAAGGAUCGAAUGGACUGGAGUUGAGCAUUUCUUUCUCCAGAUUUGUGUUUCCCUGAUUAAACCCAGUCAGGUGAAGUCAGUCCAAAUACUUACUCUUGAUGCCAGGCCUCAUUGAGAAGCAACAAAUGUUCUAGGAAUAUUUGAAAACAGUUGUUCACCCUGAUCUUCAAGAAGCAUAAGUGUUUUUUUUUUUUUUUUCUCCACACUUCACUCUGAGGACCCAGUAGACUCCUGAAGAUGACCUGAAAAGGUGUCGGACCUCUUCUCAGUGUAAGCAGCCUGAAGAUUUUAACUCUGGGACAUGUGACCUUUGAGACUCCAGCAAUUUGUCUAUUAUAGGCUAGGUUUUCCUACCCUUAUAGAAACCCUAUCCAGGUUUGUGAUUAUGGAUUAUGGCUGUGGUGAGUUGUAAUUCUCCCUAUCAAUGUGUCUUUCUAGAGUUCACCCAGGGCCUCCUGUAUGCUAAGCACACACUCUACCACUAGCUACAGCCUCAGCCCUUAGAUCCACCAUUUUUUUGCCAACAGUUUGCUCUGAGAUCUCAAUUCUUUGUUGGAUGAACAAGAGUUGCUAAUUUCGGGUUUGUUCAGUGUUUGACUUAUUACAAGGGUGGGAAACUUCCAAUCUUCUUUUAGGUAGAACCAGAAACUGGUAGUCUUCUUGUAUCUUGUUUUAUUCCUUUAUUUCACUGUCAAAGUUAUGUUUCUGGUUGUUUUUAAUUGCAUAAUUCUUAUUCAUUUCAUUUCUCAUUCAGCAUAUAAUGUUAUAGUUAAAGCUUCAUUCCAGGGUUUCAUAAACUGACUUCCAGACCACUCACAUAUAAUUGAAUCAAGCCUUUAUUGAAGCACACCGGUGGUGGCUGACCAGAACACAGAGCUGUUCCCCUGAUCAGCCCUGAACAAUUGCAAAGGCACUCCUUAUACGCCUGAAAACUGCAAAAGGGAUGUUUGGGGGGUCUACCCAUUGCAAGCAAGCUAGGUUACAGAAGCGGGACAGUGCAGUCAAGCAGAGGGAAACCUAACCAAUCACAGUUAGACCAGUCACAGCAGUUACAGAAACAGAGCCCCAUUAUCCUAGUUACAGAAACAAUACCCCAUUAGGUAGUUUUGUUCUUAAAGAUUUCUAUAGCAAAAGGAAAUGAACUUCUUGCCCCAGUCAUGACUCUUCUACUUGGCAUGGUUGUUUCACAGGAUGAAGACAUAAAACAAAAUGGAGUCACAUUUGCUCCUACUAUCACAAUAUGAUUAUUUGUUAAUGAUUUGAAUUUGAGUUUGUAAUCCACUCAAGUUCAUUUUCCUCUUGUUUGAUAUAGUUGAAGAGUGAAUGCUUCCUGCUGUGGGAAGAACACAUGGGCUGACCAGAGGAUUAUUGGCUGACAGGUUUGUCUCUCACCACUUUGAAUAUUUCAACCUACUGUCUUCUGUGUUCUAUGGUUUCUGAGGAGAAAUGUGAUGAAGACCUUAUGAGGAAAUGAUAACCAAGUACCCUUCCUCUCAGCCCCAUAGAUGUGAACAACAUGGCCUUCAGUGUCUUAGGGUAUGAAGCAUUUGUGCCAGUGUCAGGAUGUGAAUGAAUCACUACCAUCCUUUGGACACCAAUUGUUUUGAUUUGGAAGGAAAACAAUUUGCACACCUUGAGUGUAGGUAUGAUCAGUUAUUUAAAAGGCAAAAGUCAUUAUGGAUUUCCAGACUUGGAAUGGAAGAGCCAUUGAAACCUCCUACAGAUCUUAAUAUCUAAACUGGUACAUAUCAGUCUCCAUAACACACUGAAGCCAGAAACUUCUGAAGUCCUUCCUUAUUCUUAUUAUAAAGUGAAAAAGGUCUUUGCAGCCAAUGUGUGAGGAAACCACUGUGGGUUAUACCCAGGUAAGGGAGCCCCGGCUCUACAAUAUGUAUGAUAUAUAAUGUACGCAUUGUUUAGUCUCUUGAUUAUGGAUUUUGGGUAAGAAAGCAUACUGGUGAUAUUCUCAUCAUUUCUUGCAGGACACAUCCAGUUAACAUGGUUCAUCACAUGUGAGAAUAAGCUUGUUCACAGGUAUCUCCACUGUGAAGUUACUUUCCCCACUUCUUCUCACACUCCUCAGAAGCAAGUCAUCCCCAAGACAGUGAAUUAAGUGACCCUCAGCUCUCCAGGGAGGGAGUAGCCACACACAUGAUCUGGAGUUCUGUCUCAAGUGUUUAAAACUAGCUCAUCUGAAGAUCCUCAGGAGUCCUUUUCCACCCUUUCUUUUUAGUUAGAUGAUUUAUACAAUGCAAGAUGACCUGCUUUUCUUUGCUUAAGCUUUUCAGGUUAAAUGAGACAAUAAAAUAAAUGGGAGAUGGGUUCUUUGCCAUUAUAAAUUUGUGACUUGUCCAAGUCACAUGUGCCUUUUCUGACAAGCUAGGGAGAAUUAUGAAAGUAUAUACUGACUACUAUGUAUUUUAUCAACUCUAAAGGGAGACAUUUGGAUUGUGUUCAAUUCUAGAACAGCCUUCUUAUUAUGAUUUAUUUGAACAUCAGUUCUGUGAAUUUAAAUUACAGCUACAUUUCCCAAUGCAUGCUGAAGUGUAUGUAAAAGACUCUAUGCUAUAGCUUUAUUUUCUUUGUUUUCAUGGUACUUGAGAUCUAACCCAUGGCUCAUGCAUGCUAGACAAGCACCCUAAUAGUAAACUACAUCCUUAACUUUUUUUAUUUUGAGAUAAGGUCUUGCUAGCAUCAAACUUGUGACCCUCCUACUUCAGUCUCCCAUGUAACUGGGAAUAUAGUUGUGUUCCACCAAACAUGGCUUAUGGCAUUGUUUGUAGUGACCAAAUACCCAAACAUACAAAAAGAACAAAAUUAACCCCUAAUAAAGCAUAAGCAUCCAUUAAUAGAAAAUUAGUUAAAUAAAUCAUGGAACAUAGCUAGUAUUGGAUAUGAUGCUACUUUUUAAGUAUGAAUGACACAAUGAAAUAUUACUCAGCAUUAAAAGAGAAUAAAAUCAUGGCAUUUGCAGGCUAAUGAAUGGAGUGGUAGAAGAGAAUGCUCAGUGAAGUUAGCCAAUCCCCAAAAAACAAAUGAUGAAUGUUUUCUCUGAUAUAAGGUGACUGACUCAUAGUGGGGUAGGGAGGAAGAGCAUAGGAGGAA
rnacentral:lncRNA from 1 species